rnacentral:rRNA from 1 species
AUUGAACGCUGGCGGCAGGCUUAACACAUGCAAGUCGAGCGAGCGGAGGACGGGUGAGUAAUGUCUGGGACCCUGCCUGCUGGUUGGGGUUAACUACUGGAACCGGUAGCUAAUACCGCAUACCAUCAGAUGUGCCCAGAGGGGUUUCGCUAGUAGGUGGGGUAAUGGCUCACCUAGGCGACGAUCCCUAGCUGGGCUGAGAGGAUGACCAGCCAAACGGGAACAUAGACACGGUGCAGACUCCUAGGGGAGGAAGCAGUGGGGAAGAUUGCACAAUGGGCGAAAGGGUGAUGCAGCCAUGCCGCGUGUGUGAAGAAGGGCUUCGGGUUGUAAAGCACUUUCAGCGAGGAGGCGUUACUCGCAGAAGAAGCACCGGCUAACUCCGUGCCAGCAGCCGCGGUAAUUC